UACGUAGGGUGCGAGCGUUAAUCGGAAUUACUGGGCGUAAAGUGUGCGCAGGCGGCUUCGCAAGUCGAGUGUGAAAUCCCCCGAGCUUAACUUGGGAAUUGCGCUCGAAACUACGGAGCUGGAGUGUGGCAGAGGAAGGUGGAAUUCCACGUGUAGCGGUGAAAUGCGUAGAUAUCGUGAGGAACACCAGAGGCGAAGGCGGCUACCUGGACAAUUGCUGACGCUCAGGCACGAAAGCGUGGGGAGCAAAAGGG
rnacentral:rRNA from 1 species